UCCCUAGUGGUUCAGUGGUUAGGGCACCAUGCUUCCAUGGCAAGGAGUGCAGGUUCAAUCCCUGCUUGGGGAA
rfam:TPA: Bos taurus chromosome 18, whole genome shotgun sequence.